UUGUUAGCACACCCAACCAGGACUGGGCACUAAGUUGUGACUUUUACCCCAGCUCUAGUUUAUGCAGAGUCCUGGCUACCAAGAAGCCCAAAGAUCAGCCUACUGUAAGCAGUAACAGGAAACUUCUUGAGUCCUGUCUGAAGAGGUGGGGAAACAGCUGUGAGAAAAGCCCUAGGGUACUCCUUCCUGGCCCCACCAGAGCUCUGAGUAAGCUGCUGUCAGAACAAAAAGUUCUACUGCUGACAGCAGUGUAUCCAUGAGGAGUGCCCUUGCUCACCAUUGCUGGCUGAUCCAUGUCAUAGUGUUCUAACCUUCGCCUACCCAUGUCUCUACCAGUGCCAUACCCAUGUGUCUAUCUUCUCAAUUUGGAAACCUUCCAGUUUCAUCUCUCUGGGGCUCCCUGUGAGACUGACCUAGUCAGGUUCAGUAAAUGUCCACCAAUAAACUGACAGCAUAUACAUUUUCUAGACUUAGGCUGGAAGUUUCCAGAUAGCCCUCAUCUGACCUGAUAGUAGCACUCACAUAUUCCAGUCAGCAGAGAGAGGAAGAUGUGAGGCCUGGCCUCCUGCCUGAGCCCAGCAGCUGUUCAAAUUGAGCCAUAGUCUCUUCGAGUGCUCCAGUGCACCUGAUCCUACCCAGCAGCCAUGCCAGGAGAACAGGCUGUCCUUGGCGACAGCAAAGGACAGGCGCCAGGUUUCCUGAAGCUCUUGGCCCUAGGCAGCUUCCAGCCAGGGUGGUGGAUAGGAGGGUGGCCUGAUCUGCCUUUAUGACCCUUCUGCCCUGGAUAAGACCCUGGAUUUUAGAUGAAUGAGGUGACCCUAUAGGCAGCAUAAUGGCUCCCAAAGAUGCCCAUGUCCUCAUCCCCCAAACCCACAAUUUUUACCUUGUGUGGCACAAAGGA